CUCCGGUUGAUCCUGCCGGACCUGACUGCUAUCGGAUUGGUACUAAGCCAUGCGAGUCGUUGUAGCAAUACAAGGCGGACGGCUCAGUAACACGUAGUCAACCUAACCUAUGGACGUGGAUAACCUCGGGAAACUGAGAAUAAACCGCGAUAGAUCAUUAUGCCUGGAAUGGCUUAUGGUUCAAACAAUUUAUUGCCGUAGGAUGGGACUGCGGCCUAUCAGCUUGUUGGUGAGGUAAUGGCCCACCAAGGCUAUAACAGGUACGGGCUCUGAGAGGAGAAGCCCGGAGAUGGGUACUGAGACACGGACCCAGGCCCUACGGGGCGCAGCAGGCGCGAAACCUUCGCAAUGCGCGAAAGCGUGACGAGGUUAAUCCGAGUGACUCCCGCUGAGGGGGUCUUUUGUCAGCUGUAAAUAGGCAGGCGAAUAAGGGGAGGGCAAGCCUGGUGUCAGCCGCCGCGGUAAUACCAGCUCCUCGAGUGGUCGGGGCGAUUAUUGGGCCUAAAGCAUCCGUAGCCGGUUCCGUAGGUCCUCUGUUAAAUCCAACCGCUUAACGGUUGACCUGCAGAGGAUACCGCGGGACUAGGAGGCGGGAGAGGCGGACGGUACUCCGCGUGUAGGGGUAAAAUCCUUUGAUCCGCGGAAGACCACCAGUGGCGAAGGCGGUCCGCCAGAACGCGCUCGACGGUGAGGGAUGAAAGCUGGGGGAGCGAACCGGAUUAGAUACCCGGGUAGUCCCAGCCGUAAACGAUGCUAGCUAGAUGAUUCAUUCGCAAGUCGCGAAUGAAGUGUCGCAGGGAAGCCGUUAAGCUAGCCGCCUGGGGAGUACGGUCGCAAGACUGAAACUUAAAGGAAAUGGCGGGGGAGCA
rnacentral:rRNA from 1 species